rnacentral:lncRNA from 1 species
UCCGUCCCUCGGUUCAUUUUGCAGAUGUGGACGUGGGACCUUGGUUUGCUCAGCGUCUUAGAGCUGCAGACGCGGGUCCCUGAUGAGCUUUUUGUCUAGGACGAUGUGCACCAGUUGUAGGGACGUGGGAAGGCCUCUCACUCUCGUUUUCAAAAUCCUGGGGCUGGUGUGAUACAAAGCCAGAGAAAGGGAUUUCUGUUGUCACCAGGUCCCAGAGCUGGCAGUCAGUGAGCCCCUCUAACUUUCUAGGGGGCCGCUAGCUUGUCCCUAGACGUGGGGCAUGUGUGGGGAGCCUCCAUUGAAAUCCCCACUGAAAGCCGAGAGCUGUGCUCAUGGUGGGUGGGUGUGACUUUGUCCUUAGCCGAAGGUUCAGAUAGUUCUGUCCUUUUGCUCCUUACUGAAUGAGCUACCUUGGUGGUUGGUGUCUUACCCAGUUCUUUUUCCCAUAAGUUCAUGGGUUUGGGGUGUUUUUCAGCCCUUCUUGGCCCUUUGAUUUUGAAAUAGGAACUCUUUCAUCUGGGUUGAUUGGGUGCCUCGGGGAGCUGUGUGACUUUAUCAUCUUUGUGGGAGCCAUUGGACUCCAAGGACAUCAGUCACUUAGCUGGGCACAGUGGUGCAUAUCUGCAAUCCCAACCACUCAGGAGGCUGACACAGGAGGAUCAUAGUUCAAAACCAGCCUCCGCAAAUUAGAGAGGCCCUAAGGAACUCAGCGAGAUUCUUUCUCAAAAUAAAAAUGGCUGGGGAUGUGGCUUGGUGGUAAAGUACCCCACUAUUUCCAGAAGUAUUGGGGUUAGAUCUUGCAACAGAGCAAUUUCUACCACAUCUUGGGCUCUCAAAGCAAACCUCCAACAUUCUACCUACUAACGGACUGAGAACAGAAUCCCGUAGAAAUGCAGGACAGGGCUCCAGCAAGCGGUCAGCAUUAGAGGUUCCAAGGGCCAUGGGCCUGCAUGCCCUCAUGAGUGUGUUCCUGAGCUGCCAACCAGCAGGCCUCACCCGAAGCUUAGGUCGGGACAUCUGCCCCUCGGAUGCCAUGGAGCCUGCUUCAGAAGCAGAACAAUAUGCUAAUUAAAAUGUCAUGUUCUGGCCUACAGCAGACAACAGCUGGUUUUAGAUUAAGAAAUCUUUUUUAAAGAAGUUGUGUCCUCCUGGCCUAUAGAGACAGCAAACUGGCCCUGACCCAAGUGUGUGCACUGGGCCAUUGCCUUGGGCCCUGGGGACCUCAUGGGAUGGGCCCGCUUGGAACUCCCGGGCUGGAAAUACUAUCUGUUUUUUCUGAUUAACAUUAGACAGUUGUUAAUGUUUUUAUCUCAUGUAUUUCACCAUGUCUCACAUGUGUUUAAGCCAAAACCCCCUUCUCUGUGAAAAUUAAAGAGG